CCUGGCCUCCCCUGGGCCUCGGGCUAAGACCGCGCUGCUGACUCGCUGAGCGGAAGUUCUUCCCAGAGUCUAAUCGCCAGCCUUCCUCGGCCCUAGUCCAGGCCUCUCUUUUGGGCGAUGCUAAGGCGGAGGUAGAGAGGGCUCUGCCCAAAGGAUUCGCUUCAUGUGCUCAGUCCUCUUUUUCCUGGGGGAUCGGUCCAUCGCGGCCCUUUUCCUCCCAAGCGUGCGUUCCCAGAUCCUGCGCCGCGCCCCCGGGGUGUCCUCGGGCCCGGGAAGGAGAGGAGGCGGUGGUCAGGACUCGCCACGCGGCGGCGCCGGGCGCUGGAAACGACCGCCCGAGGGCCGCGCGGUUUACUCAGUGUUUAGGCAUAAUAGCCACCUAGGGAGUGGCUCGCCGCGGGAGGUAGGAAGAAUGUUGGGCUUUAGCUCGGCUCAACCGGUGCCGCUGCGGGUCUCCCACAAAGCUCCAGGCUCUAAGGGUUCCAGCCUCGACGUCUGCCUGAGAGUUAGCAGCUGAGGAUGAAGCGCUUAGUUCAGGCCGAGUUCUCUGCUCAGGCUUUCGGGUGCGUGAACUCCAUCAAUUCUAACACUGACCUGCUAGGAAGAUACUGUUAUUGUCCUGCAUUUCGCAGAUGAAGAAGUGGAGGCCCAGAGGGCUUUGGAAUGUGGUGCAGGGGUCACAGCUAAGAAAUCUCCCAGGGCCGGGCGCAGUGGUUCACACCUGUGAUCCCAGCACUUUGGGAGGCCCAGGUGGGAGGAUCUCUUGAACCCAGGAAUUUGAGACCAGCCUGGGCG
rnacentral:lncRNA from 1 species